CGAAAGCCUGACGGAGCAAGACCGCGUGGGGGAUGAAGGCUCUUGGGUUGUAAACCCCUUUUCUCAGGGAAGAAGUUCUGACGGUACCUGAGGAAUCAGCAUCGGCUAACUCCGUGCCAGCAGCCGCGGUAAUACGGAGGAUGCAAGCGUUAUCCGGAAUUAUUGGGCGUAAAGCGUCCGCAGGUGGCUCGCUCAAGUCUGCUGUCAAAGACCGGGGCUUAACUCCGGAAAGGCAGUGGAAACUGACAAGCUAGAGGGCUCUAGGGGUAGAGGGAAUUCCCGGUGUAGCGGUGAAAUGCGUAGAGAUCGGGAAGAACACCCGUGGCGAAAGCGCUCUGCUGGACUGCAACUGACAUUGAGGGACGAAAGCUAGGGGAGCG
rnacentral:rRNA from 1 species